UACGUAGGGGGCAAGCGUUGUCCGGAAUUAUUGGGCGUAAAGAGCGCGUAGGCGGUCCGAUAAGUCGGCUGUGAAAGUCAGGGGCUCAACCCUUGAAAGCCGGCCGAUACUGUCGGGCUAGAGUCCGGAAGAGGCGAGUGGAAUUCCUGGUGUAGCGGUGAAAUGCGCAGAUAUCAGGAGGAACACCAAUGGCGAAGGCAGCUCGCUGGGACGGUACUGACGCUGAGACGCGAAAGCGUGGGGAGCGAACAGG
rnacentral:rRNA from 1 species